AGCCUUGGAAAGGCGCUGGACUAGGGUGUG
rnacentral:sRNA from 1 species